AAAAUGCGAUAAGUAAUGUGAAUUGCAGAAUUCAGUGAAUCAUCGAAUCUUUGAACGCACAUUGCGCCCCUUGGUAUUCCAUGGGGCAUGCCUGUUCGAGCGUCAUUUGUACCCUCAAGCUCUGCUUGGUGUUGGGUGUUUGUCCCCGUCUCCGCGCGUGGACUCGCCCCAAAGUGAUUGGCAGCCGGCGUACUGGUCCCGGAGCGCAGCACAUGUCGCGCAAACGAGUGCCUUGGUACGGCGGCGUCCAUAAGCCCCUCUCUCACGCUCUUGACCUCGGAUCAGGUAGGGAUACCCGCUGAACUUAAGC
rnacentral:misc_RNA from 1 species